rnacentral:rRNA from 1 species
GAACGCAGCACGGAGCAUCCUGUGGCGAGUGCGAACGGGUGAGUAUACAUCGGAACGUGCCCAAUCGUGGGGGAUACGCAGCGAAAGCUGUGCUAAUCCCGCAUACGAUCUACGGAUGAAAGCAGGGGUCCGCAAGGCCUUGCGCGAAUGGAGCGGCCGAUGGCAGAUUAGGUAGUUGGUGGGGUAAAGGCUCACCAAGCCUGCGAUCUGUAGCUGGUCUGAGAGGACGACCAGCCACACUGGGGCUGAGACACGGCCCAGACUCCUGCGGGAGGCAGCAGUGGGGAAUUUUGGACAAUGGGCGCAAGCCUGAUCCAGCCAUCCCGCGUGCAGGAUGAAGGCCUUCGGGUUGUAAACUGCUUUUGUACGGAACGAAAAGGCCUUUUCUAAUAAAGAGGGCUCAUGACGGUACCGUAAGAAUAAGCACCGGCUAACUACGUGCCAGCAGCCGCGGUAAUACGUAGGGUGCAAGCGUUAUUCGGAAUUACUGGGCGUAAAGCGUUCGCAGGCGGUGAUGUAAGUCAGUUGUGAAAUCCCCGGGCUCAACCUGGGAUCUGCAUCUGUGACUGCAUCGCUGGAGUGCGGCAGAGGGGGAUGGAAUUCCGCGUGUAGCAGUGAAAUGCGUAGAUAUGCGGAGGAACAUCGAUGGCGA